GGUAAUCUGCUGUGGUCUUUUUCCACGGUUUGGAAGCUUUAUUUUUUUGCUCUUUGCAAUAAAUAUUGUUGCUGCUAAUUCUUUGAGUCCACACUGCUUUUGUGAGUUGUAGCACUCACCCGAAGGUUUGCAGCUUCACUCCUGAAGCCAGUGAGACCACGAACCCAACGAGAGGAACGAAGAAUUCCAGACGCGCUGCAUUAAGAGCUGUAACACUCACUGCGAAGGUCUGCAGCUUCACUUUUGAAGCCAGCAAGACCACGAACCCAUCAGAAGGAAGAAACUCCAAACACAUCCGAGCAGCAGAAGGAACAAACUCCGGACACGCUGCCUUUAAGAACUGUGACACUCAGAGCGAGGGUCUGCGGCAUCACAUUUGAAGUCAGUGAGACCAAGAACCCACCGAUUCCGGACGCGAGCAGGUUGCUUCAGGGUAUAGACAUUUGGCACAGUACUGCAGCAUAAACCCAUCAAGGUGUAACUGGAUAAUAGAAAAUCGGAUUUCACAACGGAAAU
rnacentral:lncRNA from 1 species